UGGGGGAAUAUUGCACAAUGGGCGCAAGCCUGAUGCAGCGACGCCGCGUGCGGGAUGGAGGCCUUCGGGUUGUAAACCGCUUUUGUUCAAGGGCAAGGCACGGCUUCGGGCCGUGUUGAGUGGAUUGUUCGAAUAAUCACCGGCUAACUACGUGCC
rnacentral:rRNA from 1 species